UGUUUGUUCAUUUGUUUAGGUCGUAGCUCAAGGAGAGUUGUAUGUCCUCUCUCUCUCUGCGUUUUCAGGCUGGAAUCAUUGACAGCAGCUAGAGUCUCAGGACAUGAAUGUCCACUGAAGCGAAUGUCUUGGAGGGGUUGGUAGAACGUUGUUUUGUUGAUGAAGAGAAGAAUAAUGUCUGUAUGUGGGAUGACGGGACCAGGGCUUGGUCUGUCUGUGUUCCUGUUGGCUCUGCUUCAUCUUCAAUGCUCAGCCCUGAACAACUACACUACGCUCCCAAAUAACGUAUCAGUGGCUGUUGGCAAGCCUGCUGCCUUUCAGUGUGGUGUGUCCCCUCCUCCUAGACAACUCAACUUCACUCUCUAUGGUAGCCAUAGAAACAUAACCCUCAUCUGCCCAGGAGACCACACUGAGUAUCUGGCUGCCCAGGGGGGAAAGAUCGUGAGGAUGACGUCACCACAAUGGUGACAAAGGAUUAAACACACACCUUGCAAUACUGUUGGAUUUACUUAUUCAACUUCUUAAAGGUGGCACUUUUGUUUUUUUUUGCAUAUGCAGAUUUUGAUUGUAAUUUCUAUUUUGUUUUACUGUUCUAUUAUUUGCUUAUCUAGCAGUAUGCAGUAUCUGAUACUGGCAUCAAUUUCCUGUGUUUUUAUCUUAUUAAAUGUAGCUAAACAUAGGAAAUUAAACAAAAUGUUGCAUUUUGAAAACUUCUUACAAAAGUCCCAUAUAUCAUAUUCUCACCCAUAAAAUUUUAGAUUUGUUUUGCCUUGGUUUGUUCAGUCGCAGUUCUACUAUUUGUCCAACAGAGAGCAGCCAUGACAGUACAGAAACUGAAGUUCAAUUAUGCUGGGAUACUACUAAAGCGUUUUUAAUAAUGUACUAUAAUUGUGCGUCUCUGACUUUUCCUCUACUCCGGAAUACUGAAGUUUAUGUUAAUUUUUUAUACUGCGCUUUAUAGCUCCAUUAAUUGUUUUACAGUUAUGCUGGCAGCCAGCUAACACCUGUUUUCACUGCAUAAACAAUAGAGAGCAGGACGUCUGAGUAGCUGUCUAAAGUGUUCCAGUGGAGGAUCAGUAGAGGUGGUGCGAUGUUGACUCAGCUGGCCUGCUAUGCUCUGGCAUGACUCUGACACGGACACAACUCACAUCACUUCAAAUCCCACAAUAUGCAUUGCUAAUUUGUUUAGAAUUACAUACAUUCUUUGAGAUGUAUUUAUAUUUUUAUGCAUGCUCCCCAUCUUCAGAGUGGCUUGUCAGAGGAUAUGGUCAAAUGCUCAAAGGCCCUUAGAUGGUUUGUUUAGUGACAAAUAUGCCUCCUAACAAGUAAGAGUACUGUACGUUUUGAGUGUUCCAGCACGAGCGUGCUUGUGUCAGUGCAUGCAGGCAUACUUACAUACCACACUUUUGUUUAAGUCUAAGCUAUGCACCGGAGUUGUGUCAGUGCAUGCAGGCAUACUUACAUACCAUACUUUUGUUUAAGUCUAAGCUAUGCACCGGAGUUGUGUCAGUGCAUGCAGGCAUACUUACAUACCAUACUUUUGUUUAAGUCUAAGCUAUGCACCGGAGUUGUGUCAGUGCAUGCAGGCAUACUUACAUACCACACUUUUGUUUAAGUCUAAGCUAUGCACCGGAGUUGUGUCAGUGCAUGCAGGCAUACUUACAUACCACACUUUUGUUUAAGUCUAAGCUAUGCACCGGAGUUGUGUCAGUGCAUGCAGGCAUACUUACAUACCACACUUUUGUUUAAGUCUAAGCUAUGCACCGGAGCUGUGUCAGUGAUGAUGCAUUCAUAUUAUAUUAAUACAGUGUGUUCCAUUUGUAUUGGGGCAGUGAAACUUGUUGUUUUGGCUCUGUACACUU
ensembl:lncRNA